GGAUUCGACACAGCUUCUAUGAUGAGUAAUGCCAUUUUUAUUGAAAAAAUCCUUCAUUUGAAAUUCUAGGCCAUUAUCACUUCAAAGGAUCUUAAUCUUAAAACUAAAUUGCGUUUCCACCAGAUUAUAGGAUGCUUCUAAACAAGCUCUAGUGUCAAAUUUUGCUUUAAGAGGAUAGACCCAAGUGCUUCUAGAGAAAUCGUCCACAAUGGUUAGAAAAUACUUGGAUCCAUCAUAAGCUUCUGUAGAACUUGGUUCCCAAAUGUCAAAGUGGAUGAGUUCGAAAUUUUGUUUAGUUUUAUGGGUGCUGAUAGGAAAUGGUAGUCUACGUUGCUUUGCAAGUGGACAUACACAACAAGGAACAUUGCUAGUGCCGGAUAAGUCAUUCUUAACAAUAGGAUCAGAAAUUAAAUUCAACCUUGAGAAAUGUGUAUGGCCAAGCACUGAUGCUCGGACUCGGCUUUUCGACCGGCGUACCCGUGUCGACACAACAUGACACGAGUACGGGUAUGAAAUACGGGACAGACACGGCAAAUUUCCACCGGACACGGCAAGGGAUGGAAAACUGCUGGACUUCACCGCCGCACCAUUGUUGCAAUCUUGCAGAUUCGCGUGAUGCUCGUUAGGGAAGAAGAAGGGAUUCAAUAGUUGGGCCUUUGUUUUUUAAAUUUUGGGCCUUUUUUUUAAUUUUUUGAGCCAUUGUGGUUGAAAACAGGCCGGCUGAUUUAGGGAAUAGUUGAGUUGUAGUUGGGCCUUUUGAGCCCUUUUUAUUUUUUAUUUUUUUUAUUUUUUUAUUCAUUGUGGUUGAAGUAUAUUUACAUCAUUAAAUUGAUCGAGCAAAUUGCAUGAGCU
rnacentral:lncRNA from 1 species